rnacentral:rRNA from 1 species
GACGAACGCUGGCGGCGUGCUUAACACAUGCAAGUCGAACGGAAAGGCCCUGCUUUUGUGGGGUGCUCGAGUGGCGAACGGGUGAGUAACACGUGAGUAACCUGCCCUUGACUUUGGGAUAACUUCAGGAAACUGGGGCAAAUACCGGAUAGAAGCUCCUGCUGCAGGGUGGGGGUUGGAAGGUUUCGGCGGUUGGGGAUGGACUCGCGGCUUAUCAGCUUGUUGGUGGGGUAGGGGCUUACCAAGGCUUUGACGGGUAGCCGGCCUGAGAGGGUGACCGGCCACAUUGGGACUGAGAUACGGCCCAGACUCCUACGGGAGGCAGCAGUGGGGAAUAUUGCACAAUGGGCAGAAGCCUGAUGCAGCAACGCCGCGUGCGGGAUGACGGCCUUCGGGUUGUAAACCGCUUUCGCCUGUGACGAAGCGUGAGUGACGGUAAUGGGUAAAGAAGCACCGGCUAACUACGUG